rnacentral:rRNA from 1 species
CGCCUCUCGCAUCUCAUAAGAGGUCUAGCCUGCCCAGUGACUUUAUUCAACGGCCGCGGUACACUAACCGUGCAAAGGUAGCAUAAUCACUUGUCUCUUAAAUAGGGACCUGUAUGAACGGCAUCACGAGGAUUUUACUGUCUCCCCCCACCAAUCAGUGAAACUAAUCCCCCUGUGAAAAAGCAGGAGUAUAUAUACAAGACGAGAAGACCCUAUGGAGCUUAAAAUUAAUAACACUUACUACUUCCCUUAAACAUAAUCACUUAGUAUCGUGCUUACACAUUUUCGGUUGGGGUGACCCCGGAGUAAAGCCUAACCUCCACGCUGUAUAUUUAAGAACCACCAUUCUAUCAAUCAAUAAAUUGACAUAUUGACCCAAAAACUUGAUCAACGAACUAAGUUACCCUAGGGAUAACAGCGCCAUCCACUUCAAGAGUACAUAUCAACAAGUGGGCUUACGACCUCGAUGUUGGAUCAGGAUCCCCCAGUGGUGCAGUCGCUACUAAAGGUUUGUUUGUUCAACAAUUAAAAUCC